rnacentral:rRNA from 1 species
GAUGAACGCUGGCGGCGUGCCUAAUACAUGCAAGUCGAGCGAACAGACGAGGAGCUUGCUCCUCUGACGUUAGCGGCGGACGGGUGAGUAACACGUGGAUAACCUACCUAUAAGACUGGGAUAACUUCGGGAAACCGGAGCUAAUACCGGAUAAUAUAUUGAACCGCAUGGUUCAAUAGUGAAAGACGGUUUUGCUGUCACUUAUAGAUGGAUCCGCGCCGCAUUAGCUAGUUGGUAAGGUAACGGCUUACCAAGGCAACGAUGCGUAGCCGACCUGAGAGGGUGAUCGGCCACACGGGAACUGAGACACGGUCCAGACUCCUACGGGAGGCAGCAGUAGGGAAUCUUCCGCAAUGGGCGAAAGCUUGACGGAGCAACGCCGCGUGAGUGAUGAAGGUCUUCGGAUCGUAAAACUCUGUUAUUAGGGAAGAACGAAUGUGUAAGUAACUAUGCACGUCUUGACGGUACCUAAUCAGAAAGCCACGGCUAACUACGUG